rnacentral:misc_RNA from 1 species
UUUCCGUAGGUGAACCUGCGGAAGGAUCAUUAUCGUACAAAAUGUGAGGGGCAUGCGAGGGCUGUCGCUGACCCAAGAGUCGUGCACGCCCGAGUGUGUCCUCUUGCAUAAUAAUCCAUCUCACCCUUUGUGCAUCACCGCGUGGGCACCCUUCGGGAUCACCUCGGAGGGGGGCUCGCGCUUUCACACAAACCCCCCUUUUAAAAGUGUAGAAUGACCACAUUUAUGCAAUCAAUACAACUUUCAACAACGGAUCUCUUGGCUCUC